UCUCACAAAAGAAGGGACUUAAAAAAGGGAAAAAAAUAUUCAGACUGGAGACAUCUGGACUCAAACCGGGUCGUUAUGAAGUCAGUCCUACACCGUCAGCGCCGGCGCGGCGUCCACGAGUCUCAACGUGUUCCGUGGCAGCGUUCCAACGUUUCGGAUGCACAUUAUAUUUCAACUUCGAUUCCAAAUAAACAAGUACCUAUGUCUCUGUUCGCUGAUAUUAUCGUUACGUAAUC